UACGUAGGUGGCAAGCGUUGUCCGGAAUUACUGGGCGUAAAGGGUGCGUAGGCGGUUUAUUAAGUCAGAUGUGAAAUUCCCAGGCUCAACCUGGGGACUGCAUUUGAAACUGGUAGGCUAGAGUGCAGGAGAGGAAAGCGGAAUUCCUAGUGUAGCGGUGAAAUGCGUAGAUAUUAGGAAGAACACCGGUGGCGAAGGCGGCUUUCUGGACUGCAACUGACGCUGAGGCACGAAAGCGUGGGGAGCAAACAGG
rnacentral:rRNA from 1 species